ensembl:lncRNA
UUAAGAGUGUCGUUGUAGAGAGUGGGAAGCCAGCAGUGUUGACAGUAUUUAGAAGAAUAAGCUGUACUGAUGCAGAGAAGGCAGACAGUAAAGAAUAAUCUAAGUCAUGUUCCAUAAGGACAUUUCAAGAGGAGGAAGUAUUGUAAACUUAAAUCAUCUCUUCCAAGGAGAGAGGACAACUGCUAGAGCAGGACGUGACCUUAUCUGGUGAGACACAGUUUAAGAUCCCCAAAUGCUGAAAUAUUUUACUAAUGCUUAGAAUCAUAAAAUGAUUAUGGUUGGAGAAUACCUCUUAGAGAUAAUCAUGUCCAACCUCCAACCCAUCACCACCAUGCCCCCUUCAAUGCCUUCGUAGAAUUUUUUUCUAAUUUGGUAGUGCUGAAGAAGGUGGGAUUUCGUUGUAAUGGUUAUUUGCAUGGCAAUGUUGAUUGCUAACAUGUUUUCUCCAGUUAAAAAACAGGCUUUGUUGCAGCUGGACCUGCCAUGUUCCUUGGCUGAUUAACACCAGAACUCACACUGCAUUCUCAGUGCUUGUCAGUAAGUGAUUUCUUUAGCUGUAAGAUAAAAGUACCUCCAAGCGAUGUUUUUAACCAUCUGUGCUUCCUGCAUUCAGCACAAUCUGAUUUCACAAAAGCUUUGUGGGGUGGGAGGGGGGUGUUUAGGGUGUAUUUAAGUGUGCUUUGCGGUUGUAGUUAGCCCAGCUACUCUGGUGCCACAGAACAGGUCACAGAGGAGCUUCAGCAGAGAGCACCUUGAGCCAGUAGAGCACUCUGGAGUCAGCGUGCUGGGUCUGGGGUUGUCGAGGAGAAGAAAUACCCUCUUAUCUGCAGCUUCAAGCUGGUUUGUGCAGCAGAACCAUUUGCUGUAUGGUAAUUCAGCAUUUUCUUCUCACUGGCAAAACUGUGCUAGCCUUCAUCAUAGAUUCGUACCACAUUAAGUUAGCAAACCUGUGCUCAGUUUCAUGUGGUGUUCUGAAUGAUAUGAAGAACCUGGAGUUUCACUGCCAUGAGUAAUUUUCAUAACUUUCUCCCAUCUCUCCGAUACAUACUCCCACUGAUUCAGUCUUCAUAGAUAGUGACCAUGUCUUAUUUCAGGAGUAGCCUCCAUUUUGUUUCUUGCUGUAAGAGAUUCAUUCUUUUGAAAGUUUGCCAGCUCCAGUGUGAUAACUUGGUCAAACCUGCUCAUAGGUAAAGCUUUGGUGCUGAAAGACUUCAUCUUGGAGACGCCUGGCUAUGUGUUUCCUCUCGCUUCUCUCAGUAAUGCAGCAGAACAAACAGUGAUGGAGUGGACAGCUAACACACUGAAGAGCAUCUCCUCCUGGCGCCCAGCGAGUGCCAGGCCAUGUGCAGCACCUCAGAAUGUGUAGCUGGAGGGCAAGACCUUGAAGUGCUUGGCUCCUGUAGCAUGAAGUUCACCAGCAGGUUAGUCUGCAAGUGCAGUAGGCUUUCCGUGCUCAUACUGGCAUUUGUUUAAAUAAGCAGGAAAGGGUUAGAAUCAUAGAAAUAUUAGGAGUAGGA